GUGUUGGUGGUUCAGUGGCAGAAUUCUCGCCUGCCACGCGGGAGACCGGGGUUCGAUUCCCCGCCAACGCA
rnacentral:tRNA from 1 species